rnacentral:rRNA from 1 species
GACAGAGGGUGCAAACGUUGCUCGGAAUUACUGGGCGUAAAGCGCACGUAGGCGGAUUUGUAAGUCAGGGGUGAAAUCCCGGGGCUCAACCUCGGAACUGCCUUUGAUACUGCAAAUCUCGAGUCCGAUAGAGGUGGGUGGAAUUCCUAGUGUAGAGGUGAAAUUCGUAGAUAUUAGGAAGAACACCGGUGGCGAAGGCGGCCCACUGGAUCGGUACUGACGCUGAGGUGCGAAAGCGUGGGGAGCGAACAGG